ACUCCAUGCAGACACACCGGGUGCUGCACCUGUACCACUGGGAACUGCUCACAGCAUCUCUAGGCUGAUUCACUAACACAUAGGAGGUUUUCCAUGUGACACUGAUGCGUGAAUAUCCUCGAAUAUGGCCACUAGCCUCUGUGCUUGAGUUCACAGACUGCAAAAUAGCAUCACCCUCUUUCUCAGGGCAAGUUUCAUGUCUCAAGCACACUUCUGGCUUGUAUGGGCAUAAUUAGUGCCAGUGACUGUCUCCUGAGGGAGUGUCUGAACUGGAAUUCAGCCAUCUUGAAGAUACAAUAUCAGGAGAAGGUGAUCUAAGAAAACAGGUACAUCCUCCUUCCUCAUAUCCCAUAUGCAACUUCCUUCACACACUCCCAAGUAUUUAUUAUUUCCUCAGCUAUUCCGAAGGACGGACACAAUAUUUGCCACCCUACAUGCAGCAUGAGACACACCACAGAUUGACACCACGUCCAGUCUUCCAACAUUUGUUUACAUGCACUGUCUCCCCUCCCCUUCCAAAGCAAAUCUUCUCUGCCUUUUUGGUGAAGAAUUCAUAAUCAAAAGUAUUUAUUUGUUUUAAGUGAAUCCAGAAACCAAGUCUUCAAACUGCCGUCUUUUGCAAUUUCCUGAGCCAACCCCACUUCUCUGCACAAUUCAUCACUGCUUUCUUUGUGCUCUGCUUGCUCUACCCCCAAGAAACAUUCAAAGACAUUGAGUACAGCCUUGAAAGCACACAUGCCUGCACAUGGCUGUGUCUACACAUCCUGAGGCUGUAUGGGCUGAAUUCUCCAGGAUUUGGAGCUUGGGGGAGGAAUGCAUCCAGCAGACACGUCACAGGCAGGGGCCACGAGAAGUAUUGCCAGAGUGAAGUGUAAAAGUUGAGAUGUUGGAGAGAAAAAUCACAAGCAUUCCCCAGCAACUGUCAUCAUGGUCCAUCUCCAAGAAGGGCUUCACAUCUGGGAAGGAACUGCCUGCGGGUAAUUGGGUUUGCUAGAGUUGCCUCUCUAAUUAAUAAGUGAUUUGACUUGGAGAUUGGAAAUAAUAGUUGAAAUGAUGGCAUAAGCACAGGGGCAUUGGGGCUGCUCUUGCUGUACUGUUCAGAAAGGACUUUCCUGCACAAUCUAAUGACACUGUAUGGCAGUUUGAGGAAUGUGAAGUUGUUUGCCCAGGAGACCAACAAUGUGAUAAUAUUGGCAUAUAACCUUCUAGUAUUUGAGUAAUUAGUUGCUUAGCUACUUUGGAUAGGUCAUUAUUUUGCAAACUGGAAACAUUUGCAAGUGGUGAUAUUUUCCUCGGUAUGGUGAAAGAGCUAAACCUAUUCUGGCAGUGUACAACUCCUAGAAAUAUAUAUGCAUAAAUUGUUUCUAAUGAGACCAUCUGCCUUUUAUAGCCCCUUUGGAACUAAAUAGUACCCAAAGACCACUCUGUCUUUUAGAUAUCCGUGGUCAGGAAGGCUGCUCCUAGCAAUAACAGCAUGUAGUUUUUUGCAGCUAGAGAAGCUUUUUGAUUUCUACAUUUCAGGACGUGUUUGUGUGUGCGUGCGUGCAUGAUACUGCUUAUAUUUGUUAAAGUUAUUAGAAAUCACUGUCCCAAAUCUCUUAAGAGAUAGCAUCUGGUAACUCAUCUGUUAAAUUAGUAUUUUCAAAGAUAACAGAAAGUUCAAUCUUUUACUUACAGGGCUGGGGGCAGCUUGGCAAGGAUUCUUCACCAUGUCAGGAUCUUCCUGUAUUUGCAAAGAAACAGCACUGUUUUAAAGGAAUAC